rnacentral:lncRNA from 12 species
AUCGUCACUAUGGAAAUUGUUGGAAAUUCUUGGAAAACACAGCCAGAAUGGUCCCAAGGCUAAUCAGCGAGCAGAAGACUGACCACACUCAGCCAAAGGCCACGCCAGGGGUGUCGAGGGAACCCCGACCAGCCGUGUCCACCACCAGCGGCCCACGAGUCCCACGACACCCCGGCUGCCACCACUCUGAGUGGCCAGGACCUGGCCUCGCUGUCUGGCCCCUGGCCUUCCCUGGCUCCCACCUCCAGACAAGCCAGAGGAGCCCAUGGGCGUCGCACCCCACAGAGGCCCAGAUCUCCUCUAGCUCCCUUGGACCCACACCUGCGACAGGUGCACCGGGGGCCGGUCCCUGCCCCUGAAGCCUCUCAGGACUCCUGCUUUCCGACUUCCUGCCAAACACAAGUGAUGGUGGCUGAUGCUCACGCCAGGACCAGCUCCAAGUGCACAGCCUCUGUCCUCACUGGGGGGACCCUCAUUUAUUCCCGGGGACAGCAUCUCAACAUGAAGCGCAACUGAUACCUGGGCAAGUCAAGGACAGACUGCUGACGCUUGCGAGUACACCGCACCUCGGGGUCACCUGGAGGGACCCCACAAAGGAGGGUCCAUGACAGUAAUAUGCUAACAUCAGUAGCCAGAGGGCCUUUUUUUGGAUUCCUUCUUAGGUCGCUAUUGUCUCCCUAACUUCCUCACCCGAAAAAUAAGAUUUUCACCUCCAGGGGAGGUAUCUCUAGGAUGAGGGAUUUUCAGUGCUAAGAGGGACUUUAUCCCAGGAUGAGGGGCCACCCAAUCUGGAAAACUGGCUCACCUACUUUUUCCUGUGUAUCAUACUAUCAUCGAACCAGGAUUACAAGCCAGGAAAAUCCACGGGCCUCCCAUGAGUCCUGCCUGUCUCAUUCUUCAUAUCCAAGCAGUUCCCAGAGAACUCUUGGAGUCCACUCUAGAAGAACAGCACCUGAGAAGAUACGCACACUGCUUGAUACUUGUGUUCGCCGUCGGUUAGACCAAAUGCGUUCCUAUUAUCUUUCAACUCAGCUGUGCUCGGCAGCAGACAACCUGCAAUCUGAUGCUACCGAACUCCUGCCUACCUUCCAAAACCAACUCAAUGAUCACAAGACAGUAGUGCUACUGUACAUAUACAAAAAGAGAAAUAAAAAAAAAUAAAAAAGAAAUAAAAAAGAGAAAUAUAUUCA